rnacentral:lncRNA from 1 species
UUUUAAUCUGGGUUGGAUGAUAAGACCUUGUCUUCUGCCAACUCCAGUUGAAUUUUUUAUGUUAUACUUUUAUGUUGUAAAAAUAUAGUAAAAGCUUUUUUUUAAUGACAAAAUAUAAAAAUAAGAAAAUAUAAAAAAAUAAAAAAUCUUAAGUUUUGUUUUGAUAAGUAUUGUAAAAUGUCACUCUACAUUUAAAUUUUGAAUUUUGGGUUAUUCACAAAAAACUAUGCUGCAUUCCUGUCAAUUUAUUGAUUUUUUAAAUAUCUUUUAAUAUAAUCAAUUUUUACUACUUUAUAUUAUUAUAUUCACUGUACACCAGAGAGACCGCCAGGUUUUUUGUCACGUCACUCAAACCAAGUCCUUAUUAUAUGAAAGUGUUAUAUAUAUUGUUUUAGAAAAUAUAUUUUUUGAAAUCGAAACGCGUUGCUGUCAUACCUUUUUUGAUAUAAGUAUAUUAUAAAAUUGUAAUUAAUUUUCUUAAUUUAUCGCAGGAUCUAAACUUAUAAAAGUGUUUAAAAAAAUUGUUUUUAUUCUUGAAAACUACUGUUAGAUAUUUUUUUAAUGGAGGUAACAUUUAUUUUGUAAAAUAUAUUAUUCAAUAUGAGAAAUUUCCGAGAUAAAAAAGAUGGUAGCAAAUAAAUUUUCAAAUCGCAGAAGGUUGUGUUAUUUAGGAGUUGUAUUUCUUUCACUUAAAUAUGAAUUCUACUUGCUGCUGUCGCUGGAAAAAGUAUGGCGAAAGAUCAAAAUCAUUGAAAAAAGUGAAUAAAAACUUAAAAGAACAAAUUCAACUUUUUAAGGUUACCAAGGUAGAUUGGAAAACUCUUUUAAAAAAUAGCUCCAGUAACAGUCUAACUUUUCCAGAUAAGAUAACUAAUUUACCGACAACUGAUUCAAGUAUAUGUUCCUUUUGCUAUACAUUACCUGAACCUGGUUAUUCUCAUAACUAUACACUCACCAGUGCUGUGGCUAAUAUCAUUACAUUGUCCUUCCUUCUAGGUUCGAUUUAAGCUGAACAAGUUGCUUCUGGAAUUAUAAAAAGUAAAAUGGCUACAGAAAGUUUGAUUAACGGAUCAACGUUUUGUUUAUCUAAAGGAGGAAAUCCGGUCAAAGUCACCAGAAAAUAAAUCAAAAAAAACUUUAAACUAUUAAGCAGCUGUCCAUCAAAAUAAUAAAGCUAUUACAAAUUGUGUUCGAACUUUCAAAUAGAAAAACAAAAGAGCUGCUUUCUUCUUUACGCAAAGGUUUAGGAAAUAAGCUUUCCAUUGAGCCUAAUAUUUUUAGUUGUCUUUCUGAGUUAGAAGAAUAUAUUUCUAAUUACUACUUGAAAUGUGGAAACGCACUGUUUGGUUUAUCAGGACAUAUUCUGGGAAAAAAGCUUGUUUAUGGUGUGAGGGAAUAUCUACAUUAAAUUUAGGGACAAAACAAACUCUUGGCAGUAUUGAUUAUUGGUAAUAUAAAUAUUUAGAAAAUAACUCAGUAAAAUCAUCCAUGCAAAAGUUUAUGAACUACAUCGAUCCUCGAAUUUUGUAUAUUAAUUUGGAUCCAAAUACUUUAAUUGACCAACUUGUUCCUCCACCUAAACUUCAUUCAUUAAUUGGUUUCGUUUCACUACUUGGAAAUUUUUUGUUAGAUGUCUGGCCGGAUUUUUGAUCGGCAAAAGACAAAAAAAUGUUAUUGAGCGAGGGUACUAAGGCAGGGGCUGGGAUGGAAACAAUUCGAACAAAAUAUUAGAAAAUCUGGAUUCUCUUGAAACACAAAUUUUAGAAACAUUUUCGAGAUUUGAAUUGUUCAGUGUUUGAGAGAUUUUUAAAAUGUAAAAAAUUGUUGCUUUUCCAGCAAUUUACAAACUGGCUUCAAAGAAGCAAUAACAAAUUUAAAGAAUACAUUUCUUUCCGCACAAGAAGUUGCAAUAAAUUUAAAGAAACAAGUAAAUACAACAUGGAAAGUCCACAUUUUACUGUGUCAUGUACAGCCAUAUGUGGAACACCAUAACAAAGGAUUGGGUAACUUUGAUUUGGUAACAUGGUUUAAGAGGCAAAAAGAGCAUUCUGAACAUGGUGACAGGCUAUUAUCAGCAGUAAUUGAUUUUGGAGCAAAAAGAAUUU